rnacentral:rRNA from 1 species
GACGAACGCUGGCGGCGUGCCUAAUACAUGCAAGUCGAGCGAACAGACGAGGAGCUUGCUCCUCUGACGUUAGCGGCGGACGGGUGAGUAACACGUGGAUAACCUACCUAUAAGACUGGGAUAACUUCGGGAAACCGGAGCUAAUACCGGAUAAUAUAUUGAACCGCAUGGUUCAAUAGUGAAAGACGGUUUUGCUGUCACUUAUAGAUGGAUCCGCGCCGCAUUAGCUAGUUGGUAAGGUAACGGCUUACCAAGGCAACGAUGCGUAGCCGACCUGAGAGGGUGAUCGGCCACACUGGAACUGAGACACGGUCCAGACUCCUACGGGAGGCAGCAGUAGGGAAUCUUCCGCAAUGGGCGAAAGCCUGACGGAGCAACGCCGCGUGAGUGAUGAAGGUCUUCGGAUCGUAAAACUCUGUUAUUAGGGAAGAACAAAUGUGUAAGUAACUAUGCACGUCUUGACGGUACCUAACCAGAAAGCCACGGCUAACUACGUG